UGUGUACUCCCUCCGUUCCAAAAUACUUGACUUCCAUUUGUCCAAAAAUGGAUGUACCUAUAUACUAAAACAUGUCUAGAUACAUAUAUAUUUUGACAAAUAGAAGGCAUGUAUUGUGCAACGGAGGGAGUAUAAU
rfam:Triticum aestivum genome assembly, contig: Triticum_aestivum_CS42_TGACv1_scaffold_577053_7BL